rnacentral:rRNA from 1 species
GAUGAACGCUGGCGGCGGGCCUAAUACAUGCAAGUCGAGCGAAGCGGGGACGGGUGAGUAACACGUGGAUAACCUCCUAUAAGACUGGGAUAACUUCGGGAAAACGGAGCUAAACAGGUAACUUAUCGAUGGAUCCUCGCUGCAUUAGCUAGUUGGUAAGGUAACGGCUGACCAAGGCAACGAUGCAUAGCAGACCUGAGAGGGUGAUCGGCCACACUGGAACUGAGACACGGUCCAGACUCCUACGGGAGGCAGCAGUGGGGAAUCUUCCACAAUGGGCGAAAGCCUGACGGAGCAACGCCGCGUGUGUGAUGAAGGUCUUCGGAUCGUAAAGCUCUGUUAUUAGGGAAGCGUUACCCAAUCAGAAAGCCACGGCUAACUACGUGCCAGCAGCCGCGGUAAUUC